UACGGAGGGCGCGAGCGUUAAUCGGAAUUACUGGGCGUAAAGCGCGCGUAGGCUGUUGUGUAAGUUGGGGGUGAAAUCCCACGGCUCAACCGUGGAACAGCCCUUGAUACUGCGCGACUUGAAUCCGGGAGAGGGUGGCGGAAUUCCAGGUGUAGGAGUGAAAUCCGUAGAUAUCUGGAGGAACAUCAGUGGCGAAGGCGGCCACCUAGACCGGUAUUGACGCUGAGGCGCGAAAGCGUGGGGAGCAAACAGG
rnacentral:rRNA from 1 species